AGUGAACGCUGGCGGCAGGCCUAACACAUGCAAGUCGAGCGGCAGCGCGUCCGACCACCCUCGGGUGGUCGGAUGGCGGCGAGCGGCGGACGGGUGAGGAAUGCAUCGGAAUCUGCCUCGUUGUGGGGGAUAACGUAGGGAAACUUACGCUAAUACCGCAUACGACCUACGGGUGAAAGUGGGGGACCUUCGGGCCUCACGCGAUGAGAUGAGCCGAUGCCGGAUUAGCUAGUUGGCGGGGUAAAGGCCCACCAAGGCGACGAUCCGUAGCUGGUCUGAGAGGAUGAUCAGCCACACUGGAACUGAGACACGGUCCAGACUCCUACGGGAGGCAGCAGUGGGGAAUAUUGCGCAAUGGGCGAAAGCCUGACGCAGCAACACCGCGUGGAGGACGAAGGUCUUCGGAUCGUAAACUCCUUUUCUGAGGGAAGAGAAAGGACGGUACCUCAGGAAUAAGGCCCGGCUAACUACGUGCCAGCAGCCGCGGUAAUGUCUAG
rnacentral:rRNA from 1 species